rnacentral:rRNA from 1 species
GACGAACGCUUGCGGCGUGCUUAACACAUGCAAGUCGAACGGAAAGGCCCUGCUUUUGUGGGGUGCUCGAGUGGCGAACGGGUGAGUAACACGUGAGUAACCUGCCCUUGACUUUGGGAUAACUUCAGGAAACUGGGGCUAAUACCGGAUAGGAGCUCCUGCUGCAUGGUGGGGGUUGGAAAGUUUCGGCGGUUGGGGAUGGACUCGCGGCUUAUCAGCUUGUUGGUGGGGUAGUGGCUUACCAAGGCUUUGACGGGUAGCCGGCCUGAGAGGGUGACCGGCCACAUUGGGACUGAGAUAUGGCCCAGACUCCUACGGGAGGCAGCAGUGGGGAAUAUUGCACAAUGGGCGGAAGCCUGAUGCAGCAACGCCGCGUGCGGGAUGACGGCCUUCGGGUUGUAAACCGCUUUCGCCUGUGACGAAGCGUGAGUGACGGUAAUGGGUAAAGAAGCACCGGCUAACUACGUGCCAGCAGCCGCGGUGAUACGUAGGGUGCGAGCGUUGUCCGGAUUUAUUGGGCGUAAAGGGCUCGUAGGUGGUUGAUCGCGUCGGAAGUGUAAUCUUGGGGCUUAACCCUGAGCGUGCUUUCGAUACGGGUUGACUUGAGGAAGGUAGGGGAGAAUGGAAUUCCUGGUGGAGCGGUGGAAUGCGCAAAUAUCAGGAGGAACACCAGUGGCGAAGGCGGUUCUCUGGGCCUUUCCUGACGCUGAGGAGCGAAAGCGUGGGGAGCGAACAGGCUUAGAUACCCUGGUAGUCCACGCUGUAAACGGUGGGUACUAGGUGUGGGGUCCAUUCCACGGGUUCCGUGCCGUAGCUAACGCUUUAAGUACCCCGCCUGGGGAGUACGGCCGCAAGGCUAAAACUCAAAGGAAUUGACGGGGCCCCGCACAAGCGGCGGAGCAUGCGGAUUAAUUCGAUGCAACGCGUAGAACCUUACCUGGGUUUGACAUGGAUCGGGAGUGCUCAGAGAUGGGUGUGCCUCUUUUGGGGUCGGUUCACAGGUGGUGCAUGGCUGUCCUCAGCUCGUGUCGUGAGAUGUUGGGUUAAGUCCCGCAACGAGCGCAACCCUUGUUCACUGUUGCCAGCACGUUAUGGUGGGGACUCAGUGGAGACCGCCGGGGUCAACUCGGAGGAAGGUGGGGAUGACGUCAAGUCAUCAUGCCCCUUAUGUCCAGGGCUUCACGCAUGCUACAAUGGCUGGUACAGAGAGUGGCGAGCCUGUGAGGGUGAGCGAAUCUCGGAAAGCCGGUCUCAGUUCGGAUUGGGGUCUGCAACUCGACCUCAUGAAGUCGGAGUCGCUAGUAAUCGCAGAUCAGCAACGCUGCGGUGAAUACGUUCCCGGG